rnacentral:lncRNA from 1 species
ACAAUACUGGAAAGUGAAAUUUAAAGCUGGAAUGAUUUAAACAAAGGAUUGCACCGAUUAAAAUGUGAAACGAAGCUAUGGAACAGUGGACGAAACACAAUCCAUUCAACACAAAAUGAAAACGAAGAGGAAAAAAAAAUCAGAAAAAACAGCACACAUAGAACAGAACAACGCGGAAUUGAUAGAAUGAAGGAUGAGCACUUAACUCUUGAUGCGUGGAUGAGAAACGGUUGGCUCUGGAUACCACUUGAUAGAAGCCUUAACUGAAUCCAUGCCUGAAAGUGCUUCUCAGAUGCAGAGAUGGCAGCGGAGGAUUGAAACAGUAUUGAUGGAUGAAGGCGCUCAAAGUGUUUGAUGGAAAUCCGAUGGUGAAUGGCUUUGGUGUAGUGGUGAAAUCUAACUCAGAUAGCUUUCCUAAGGGGAAAGGAGCUAGAGGAUAGGUAAGAU